AACUAGGGGCAUGUAAUCCUCUGUGUGUGAGCCAGGAGGCAAUGGAGAUUCAGAGGGGAAGCCUAUGAUGUUUGUAUGAUGUUAGUAACAGGUUUUCCCCAUGGGGCGAAUGUAUAUUGAGUGGCAUUGGUCCCACUGACCUCAUUAAGACGUCUGCCAUAGAUGAGAUAAAACUUUGUUCAAUCUGAAAAGUCCAAAGGAAAAAAAGUUGAAGGGGAAAAUCUAGCUUUUUAAAUACAAAGUCUCACUGUCGCCCAGGCUGGAGUGCAGUGGGGCGAUCUCAGCUCACAGCAACCUCCGCCUCCAAGGUUCAAGUGAUUCUCCUGCCUUAGCCUCUCAAAUAGCUGGGAUUACAGGUUCUGUAAUCCAAGAUGUCUGUAAAGAGCUGGGAUAUCACUAGGAAAUCAUCUUCAUCCAGACUUAUUCCUGAGUGGAAGAACUUGAAGUUCCUCAUAAAUAAGAUCCUGAAGGACAUAAAGGUGAUGUGUAUGAGAGCUGUGCACAUGGUGGCCCUGGACUAAUUAUUCCUGCCAAGGCAGGCUGUGGCAUGGGCA
rnacentral:lncRNA from 10 species